UACGAAGGGGGGCUAGCGUUGCUCGGAAUCACUGGGCGUAAAGGGUGCGUAGGCGGGUCUUUAAGUCAGGGGUGAAAUCCUGGAGCUCAACUCCAGAACUGCCUUUGAUACUGAGGAUCUUGAGUUCGGGAGAGGUGAGUGGAACUGCGAGUGUAGAGGUGAAAAUUCGUAGAUAUUCGCAAGAACACCAGUGGCGAAGGCGGCUCACUGGCCCGAUACUGACGCUGAGGCACGAAAGCGUGGGGAGCAAACAGG
rnacentral:rRNA from 1 species